rnacentral:rRNA from 1 species
UAGGGAAUCUUCGGCAAUGGACGAAAGUCUGACCGAGCAACGCCGCGUGAGUGAAGAAGGUUUUCGGAUCGUAAAACUCUGUUGUUAGAGAAGAACAAGGACGUUAGUAACUGAACGUCCCCUGACGGUAUCUAACCAGAAAGCCACGGCUAACUACGUGCCAGCAGCCGCGGUAAUACGUAGGUGGCAAGCGUUGUCCGGAUUUAUUGGGCGUAAAGCGAGCGCAGGCGGUUUCUUAAGUCUGAUGUGAAAGCCCCCGGCUCAACCGGGGAGGGUCAUUGGAAACUGGUAGACUAGAGUGCAGAAGAGGAGAGUGGAAUUCCAUGUGUAGCGGUGAAAUGCGUAGAUAUAUGGAGGAACACCAGUGGCGAAGGCGGCUCUCUGGUCUGUAACUGACGCUGAGGCUCGAAAGCGUGGGGAGCAAACAGG